CUGCAGUGCUGCUAUCUGAUUCUGUCAUCCAGAUCGCUGGUUGGGCUUGAGCAGGACUGAGAGCCUGGAAUGGUCUGUAAUGAUUGGCCAGACCAGGCAGCUGAAACCAGCACAGGUUCCCUCCUUCACAUCUGUCAACAUACCUGCUUGCAAGCAAGUUGCAGCUCGUGACCACUGUCCGCAGGGGCCAGUGAAAGCGGGAAAGGAAAUGGAGGGGAACACCUUGAUUUUGUGCUUGAGAAAAAGUGAAAUCCUGUGUUGAUGCUUCUUACCAUCGUCCCAAACUCUUGGGCCAGGAUUGGAACAGUCGUGGGACGCCACUGCUGAGUCAGGAAGGAAGUUGAGAGAAGAGUCCAGAUUCCAAAAGCAGCAAUCAAGACCCACCUCAUACUUAAGCGUGUGAUAGCAAAGGCAUUACAAAUAGAGAUCUCAUUGCCAAGGCCGCUGAGGCAUCAACCCUUCACAAACUGUGUCUAAUGCGAGCUUGGACCGAUCUCAACAGGGCAAUGGAUUUCCACUAAGUGAUUUGCCUCUCUGACAAACUGCCCCGACCUAGUGGGGGACUGCACAGCCUCUGGAGCCCAGCUGCCUGGCUUUUAUUCCCAGCCCCGCCCCCUUACUAACCCGCCGGCUGACUUUGGGCCAGUUUCUCAACCUCUCCGUGUCUUCGUUCCUCAUCGAGAAAUGAGGCUUGAUCCCCACCUUGUAAGAUUUUACAAGGAAUGAGUUAUUUAAUACAUUAUACAGUGUUCAAGAAAGUUCCUGGCACACAGUAAGUUCUACAGUUGGUGCUAUUAUUAUUAUUAUUACUACUUCUGCCCUACGGCAAGUAAUGGAGAAGUUCCGGCUACAUCUGCUCAAGAAAACAUAAUGGCAUAAGAGGAAGGAAGCAGUCUGGUGUUCUGGUAAUGGCACACCUGUGGAGUCAGGUAGACUUGACCUUUUGACCCUUAACACUGCUGCUUGAGUUAAGUGACCUUGGGUAAGUUAUGAACCUCUUUGAGAUGCAGUUUUCCGUUUAUAAAAUGGAGACAGUAACACCUGCCUCCUAGGGUUCCUGGGAGGAUCCAAUGAAGUAAUAUUUAGGAAGCACUUGGCCUUUGGUCAGUAGCCAGAGGAUGGGGAUUAUAUGGUAAACUGGUCACAUAUGAGCACAUAUGACCACAUUAUGACUGCCCUACUUGAUACAACUGACUAAAAUAAUUCCAACAUCUAAGAUUCUUACAAAAAAAAAUAUUAGUGGGGGGCCUGGGGGCUCA